AUCCUGAAUGAUAAUCGUGUCUUAAUAAUAAUAAAAGAAAGAAAAUAAGAGACAAGCAUCACGAUUUUCCCAAUUGAAAUGUCUUUUGGUUUUGCCUUUGGUGGCACAGGGUCAAGGGUGUGGGGGCAUUUGUGUGGCAUUCACUAUUCUUUCAACCUGUCCUGAUUAUGGAACCCUUUAAGGUCCGUCCACUUGGAACCACGGUGCUCUGAGAGGACGCUGAACUCACAGCAGCCCACACACAAUUCCAGUGAUACUACUGCAAUGUUUUGUACACAGAAUCUUAGGUUUGUUGGGUAAAUGUAGCAUCAUAUUUUGUUUUAGCAAUUUGUGAACAGUCUUGCUUCUCUUCACACUUAUAAGCUCAUCAGGCUAAGGAUUAAAUCGUAUGCACCCAAAUACCUCUUAGUAUACAAACGUCUGCACUCAGUAGCGUUUCUGGCUGAGCAGGUGGAAGAAGGGCCACGUUCGCCAAUGUCAUGAGGGGCCAGCAUCUUUAACCUUCACGCCCACAUCACCAGCCUUGCCUUCUUCACAACAGAAAUGUUGUCCCACUUCCUUUCCAGGUCUCUCAGAUUCAUGGUACGAGUUGGAAAGAGACCUGAGAGAUUAUUUAGGCUAAACGUUUCAUUUUAUAAAUGACAAAAUUAGGGUUGAGCAAAAUGUGGUGAUUUUGUCUGUGCAAAGCCAAGAAAAAAAAUUAGAGCCUCUUAAAAGUCAUUUUUCCCCUGAAAUAAAGUAUCUUCAUUUCACUGUUAAAUAUAUGUCCUCAUGUAGUUGCUAUAAUCAACCACUUCUCAAGAAAACUCUAAAAGCUGUAUUUCCCAUAUGACACAUUUCAGAAUAUUACAUAAGAAGCUCUCACCAAGACACCAAGGUAAAAUAUAUAUGACAAGCCAAAGACAGGUGCCAUAAAAAAAUAAGAAAUCUUCAAAGGGGAAAGAAAUUCCAAAAGUGGCAACAUGACACCACUCAUUCUCUGCCUACUUUCGAGGUAAGACGAUGUUGAAGUUCUGAGGGGGCUCAGUAAAUAACACCUCUCUUCCCCCUCCAGGUCCUGCACAAAUUGAAAACAUAAAAGGUAGCAGAUGGACUCAAAUGCCACCUUCAUGACUGAGGUGCCAAGCUGGAGGGCAGGAGUUGCCCUCUGGUCCUGGUUUAGGCUGACCUUCUGAACGGGGCCUGAGGGCAGGACCACACGGGCAGGGAUCAGAAAGGAGCUGGAGGAGAGCUCAGAAGGGAGGGCGGGCCCAGCUCUCUUGGCGGCCAAGGAAAAAGCCUGGCAUGUUAGAGCUGGUGCAGGACUCUCCAGGGUGACCGAGCCACCCAGAAGAGGGAAAAGCCAUUCUCCAUAACAAAAAGUCAGGACCGGCUGAAAGCCCCUCCCAGCCCUCCACCCUCCUUCGGCGGGGCUUCUUUCUGAGCUUUGCCCCAUCCCUGCCCCGUGCUGGUGACUGGUGUUUGGCUCCCUCCUAGAGAAAGAGAUGGGCCUGGGUUGGUUGAGAGAGAAAGAGAGAGAAAGGGAGAGACAGAGAGAAGGCUUAGCUCUUGUCCAACAGGGCCACCUAGAGGGACUCUCAGGCUUGAGCGGGAGAAGCAGAGUUUUGAGGCAGAGCUGAUCAAGGGAACCUCAACAAACAACCCCAGCCAUGGAGGCGGCGGUGUCUUUGAAGACCCCAUGAGAGCAUCAAACAAGGGAGAGAGCCUGGAACAAAUCAUGGUAGUAAAAUGGCGGCAGAGAGCUAGUAAUGUGUCUGCAAUUGGUGGGUUCUUGGUCGCACUGACUUCAAGAAUGAAGCCGCGGACCCUCACGGUGAGUGUUACAAUUCUUAAAAGUGGCGUGUCCGGAAUUUGUUCCUUCUGAUGUUCGGAGUUUCUUCCUUCUGGUGGGUUCGUGGUCUCGCUGGCUCAGGAGUGAAGCUGCAGACCUUCGCAGUGAGCGUUACAGCUCUUAAGGUGGUGUUUCUGGAGUUGUUCGUUCCUUCCGGUGGCUUCAUAGUCUCGCUGGCUCAGGAGUGAAGCUGCAGACCUUCGCAGUGAGCGUUACAGCUCUUAAGGUGGUGUUUCUGGAGUUGUUCGUUCCUUCCGGUGGCUUCAUAGUCUCGCUGGCUUCAGGAGUGAAGCUGCAGACCUUCCUGGUGAGUGUUACAGCUCUUAAGGCGGUGCGUCUGGAGUUGUUCGUUUCUCCCGGUGGGUUCGUGGUCUCGCUGGCUUUAAGAGUGAAGCUGCAGACCUUCACGGUGAAUGUUACAGCUCAUAAAGGCAGUGUGGACCUAAAGAGUGAGCAGCAGCAAGAUUUAUUGCAAAGAGAGGAAGAAUAAGGCUUCCACAGUGUGCA
rnacentral:lncRNA from 1 species